AUUGAACGCUGGCGGCAUGCCUAACACAUGCAAGUCGAACGGCAGCACGGUCUGGUUUACCAGAUGGGUGGCGAGUGGCGAACGGGUGAGUAAAGCGUAGGAAUAUACCUUAAAGAGGGGGAUAACCUGGGGAAACUCAGGCUAAUACCGCGUAAACUCUGCGGAGCAAAGCUGGGGACCGAAAGGCCUGGCGCUUUAAGAAUAGCCUGCGUCCGAUUAGCUAGUUGGUGGGGUAAAGGCUCACCAAGGCGACGAUCGGUAGCUGGUCUGAGAGGACGAACAGCCACACUGGGACUGAGACACGGCCCAGACUCCUACGGGAGGCAGCAGUGGGGAAUAUUGGACAAUGGGGGGAACCCUGAUCCAGCAAUGCCGCGUGUGUGAAGAAGGCCUGAGGGUUGUAAAGCACUUUCAGUGGGAGGAGGAUUACUAGGUUAAGAGCCAGGUAAUUGGACGUUACCCACAGAAGAAGCGCCGGCUAACUCCGUGCCAGCAGCCGCGGUAAUGUAUCG
rnacentral:rRNA from 1 species